rnacentral:rRNA from 1 species
GUACCCUGGUAGUCCACGCCGUAAACGAUGUCGACUUGGAGGUUGUGCCCUUGAGGCGUGGCUUCCGGAGCUAACGCGUUAAGUCGACCGCCUGGGGAGUACGGCCGCAAGGUUAAAACUCAAAUGAAUUGACGGGGGCCCGCACAAGCGGUGGAGCAUGUGGUUUAAUUCGAUGCAACGCGAAGAACCUUACCUACUCUUGACAUCCAGAGAACUUAGCAGAGAUGCUUUGGUGCCUUCGGGAACUCUGAGACAGGUGCUGCAUGGCUGUCGUCAGCUCGUGUUGUGAAAUGUUGGGUUAAGUCCCGCAACGAGCGCAACCCUUAUCCUUUGUUGCCAGCGGUUAGGCCGGGAACUCAAAGGAGACUGCCAGUGAUAAACUGGAGGAAGGUGGGGAUGACGUCAAGUCAUCAUGGCCCUUACGAGUAGGGCUACACACGUGCUACAAUGGCAUAUACAAAGAGAAGCGACCUCGCGAGAGCAAGCGGACCUCAUAAAGUAUGUCGUAGUCCGGAUUGGAGUCUGCAACUCGACUCCAUGAAGUCGGAAUCGCUAGUAAUCGUGGAUCAGAAUGCCACGGUGAAUACGUUCCCGGGCCUUGUACACACCGCCCGUCACACCAUGGGAGUGGGUUGCAAAAGAAGUAGGUAGCUUAAC